UCAAGAGAGAAAGAAAACAAAAACAAAAUAAUGUUGAUUAUAUCUAAAAUUAUGUCUUUAAAUAUAUAUUUCCAUAAGAUGAUGAUGAUGAUAAUAAUAAUAAUAAUAAUAAUAAUAAUAAUAAUAAUAAUAAUACACUUUAUUUAUACUCUGCCCUUCUCCCCUAGGGGAGAAACUAAGCGAGGAAGGUUAAUAUAUAUCUGUAGAAAGUCCAGGGUGUGAGAAGAACUCUUUGUCAGUUAGAAAGCCAGUGUGAAUGUUGCAGUUAAUCACCUCAAUUUGCAUUGGAAAGGUUCAUUUCCUGGCUAUUUCUGGCCAUCAGAUUGGAAAAAAUCAAUUUAUAUCCCCAUACCAAAAAAGGGAAACACUAACGAACGCUCAAACUUCUGUACAGUGGCACUUAUCUCCCAUGCCAGUAAGGUAAUGCUCAAGAUCCUGCAAGGAAGACUUCAGCAAUACAUGGAGCGAGAGUUGCCAGAUGUCCAAGCUGGGUUUAGAAAAGGCAGAGGAACAAGAGACCAAAUUGCCAAUAUCCGCUGGAUAUGUAGUAAUUACUGUAUUUAUGAAUUUAGCACCAAAAUAUCACAAUAUAUUGAAAACAUUGACUCCAAAAAUGUGUUGGAUAAUCCAGAACGUUGGAUAAGUGAGUGUUGGAUAAGUGAGACUCUACUGUAUGUAUAUCGGUUCCACAGAUAUAGGGGUCACAUUGUACAUUGGAUCUUUGAUACUACAAUUCCCCUAAAAGAGAGGGCAACCCUCUCCCACACAGAUAUGUUUUUGUGGCCUGGUGCUUCUAAGCCACAGCAUAACAUGACCUUGACUGUCCCUUGGUCAAAAGUAGAGGCAAAAACAAAUAAGAAAACACAGUCCUUUAAGGAACGCCUUCAAUGCCCUCUCGGAUCCUGGAGGUAAAGUACAGCAGCCCUGCCCUAAAUGUUCAUUGGACUUUGCUCCCAUCAGUGUUCAUUUGCUAUAACAUUUUCCUAGAAAGCCAGCGUAAAUUAUUACCUAAGAGGAUGCCUGCCAAAGUUGAUCAAGUGGAGAUGAGGGGGGGGGGGGGAAGGAACUGAGGCCCCUUCUACACAUGGCUAAAAACCCAGAAGUGACCGAGUUAAAAGGAGUGGGUGGUUAAAUGAUGUUUAGGCAAAGUGCAGGUGGAGAUGAGUUAACAGCUGAAAAGCACGUGUCAAAAAGGUGUGCUUAAAACCCGAUUCUGCCCAUAAAAUGUGCCCGUAUAUUCCUGCAGUCAUGCAAAACACGUGCUUCCUUUCCCCCUUCGUAGACUGCUCCAGCUGCCAGCCCACAAGGAAGGACGGCAUGCCAUCCGUAAGGGUACUGACUCUUCUUGAAAAGUUUGUGAAGGAGAACUACAGCUCAACGAAGCACUCACAGCAAGGCCAGAGCCAUGGGGCCAUCAUGAAGAAACUCAGCAUGGACUCUGCCUCCCGGAAGCAUGUGCUCAGCCCUUGAUGAAGGGAGGGAAGGAAGAAAGGAAGGAAGGAGCCAAGCUGUGGCCACAGGGGACCGAUGGCUGCUGGUGUCCCUCUCCCUCCUUGGCCCCUCUCCCUUGGUCCCCACGUAUUUUUUAAAAUAGCUCAGAGCAUUGAAUUUCUGGAGAUGUGAAGAAACUAAAGCCAAUGGCAAAAAACUGACUGCUCCAAUGCACAUGCGUGUUUUAAAAGCCCGAAACAGUUGAUCCGGCUGUCAAAACAUGGAGCCACGGACACAUAGGUGGCUCAAGAGAAGCAGAAGUGGAAAGCAAUUAGAACUUUCUGAAGCUCUUUCUUUUAAACUUUAUGAUAUUAAACAGAGCUUGAAUUAACAAUUGGUGAAGAGAGAGAUAAGAAAUUGGCUUGUGUUUACAUUAAGAUAUUUGCAUGUGCACAUAUGAGGUCCAGUGCAUAAUGGAGUGAUUUUUUUUAACAAACUUGCACCUGAUGUCCGCCAUCCGCUCUUCAUCUUGAUAUGCUUCAAAGGAAGAUGUGAGGAUGGCAGGGGACCAUAUCCCAGGACGGACAGGUCUGUGUGUGGCCCUGCUGUCAGGUCCCCGGAUUUGUUGCCCCAGAUUUAAAACACACAUUUUGGUUUGAAAGCACCCUGGGGUAACAAUACAGGUCAUAGAGAUUAUCAGGGCCGUAGCCAGAAAAAAAAUUCGGGAGGGGUUUUGAAAAUUUCGGGGGGGGGGGGGGUUGAACCCCUAGCACACACUUCUCCCCGCUACAAACCUGUCAAUAUCUGCUUGAAAUAGUGCCUGGAGGGACUCUUAAUGUUUUGCGUCUCAUAGACUUAGCAUGGGGAUUUGGUUAACCGGUUAAAAUUCAUGAGUAAACCAGGUAUUUUUUAUAACCUGAAAAAUUUCGGGGGGGGUUGGGGUUGAACCCCUAAAACCGCCCCCUCGCUACAGGCCUGGAGAUUAUGUCUGCACUACAGAGUUAUAGCAAUUUGACACCUCUUUUAUUAUAUUGGAUAUUUGAUUUUGUGUAGAUGGACCUAUUACUCAUUUUGUGAUGGAUGAAAGCUGGUUAAUAUUUUAAGUACAUAAGUAUCUUCCAUGGCUUCACUGAUAAAAUAGGAACAUCAUGUGAAUGUAUGGUGUGUGUGUGUGUUCCCAUGAAGGAGUAUUAGCUGUAUACACAUCUGCAAAAUGCUAGUCUCUCUUAUGUCCCAGGAACCAAACAUCAUCCACUGAAAUGGGAUAAUGGGAGUCUCAGGGCAGAUAAAAGCAAAGGCAUUGCCCCUAAAUAAGAAUUUUGUUCCCAAAUGAAGUUUUCCUUUUGCUACUUGCAUUGUUGCUUUAUCACAGGAUGUCUACACCCCACACCACUGGAGAAAUUAUACUGUUUCACCAGCAUUGCACCACCUGACAUCCGGAGCCAGCAAUGAAAGGACUAAGGCAUUGACAUCUCUGGCCCAUCCCCUGUUUGGAUAUCAGCCAGCACGCCAAUGCCUUAAAUCAAGAAAUGAGAUCUACAGAGAUACUCGCAGGAACACCUCAACAAGCCAGAGUCCAAAAGUGGCAGGCUAAAACCCGGAACCUCAAUCAGUGGCUGAUGCUGGAUGAGAGACUCCCUCUUGGGCACACAGAAGACUGGGCGACUUGGAAGGCACUGAACAGAUUGCGUUCUGGCGCCACUAGAUGCAGAGCCAACCUUAAGAAAUGGGGCCACAAAGUGGAGUUCAUGACAUGUGAGUGUGGAGGAGAGCAAACCACAGACCACCUGCAACAUCAAAGACACUCCAAGUGGCCAGCUACUGGUGAAAGGACAUUUAGUAUAAUGGCAAGUUUUAAACUUUAUGUUUUCAAAUACAUUACAACUUGUACCCUCGGUGCGCUUCUGACACAAUAAAAUUUAAAAAUUGCAGAAAGUUCAGACUUAAGAACGGCUGUAUUUGCAUUCCCUGGGAAAAUGCCUGUUUUCCUGAGAUGCUUAAACUGUAUAUGUACUUGGGGAGAGGCAAUGCUUUCAUUUUGCACACCCUCUAUUAUUGUUGAUUGUUGUGUGCUUUUCAAGCCAUUUUCCAACUUUUGGUGACCUUAAAGUGAUCCUGUUAACAUAGUUUAUUUGGCAAAGUGAGAAGGCUUUGUCUUCCUCUAAGGCUGAAAGUGUAUGAAUUGCCCAAAGUCACCCAAUAGGUUUAGAUGGCCAAGAAGAGAUUUGAAGUCUGAUUUCGAGUUGUAGUCCAACAACUCAAACCACUACUUUAUGUAGAUAGUAGCACUGCGUGGGGCACCCUGGAUUAAAGGGACCUAUUAUUUAUUUUUUAAUUUAUUUACAGUAUUUAUAUUCCGCCCUUCUCACCCCGAAGGGAACUCAGGGCGGAUCACAUUACACACAUAAGGCAAACAUUCAAUGCCUUAACACAGAACAAAGACAAGACAAACACGGGGCUCCGAGCUGGCCUCGAACUCAUGACCACUUGGUCAGAGUGAUUUGUUGCAGCUGGCUGCAGCUGGUUGCUCAACAGCCUGCGCCACAGCCCGGCCUGACUACUUCUUCACGCAAUGUAUAACACUGGCCAACACACAUUUCUGUGCCUCAAUUAGGGCUAAAAAUCCAUAUAUGACUCUGGCUAUCAAGUAAGAAAAAACUUUUUACAUGCUCUGAGCCACUAAUUUCAAACACAUUCCAAAGAGAGCUUUUACUGAUGCGAAGUAAUGUGGCCAUGAGCCUUGUUAUGCCGAUUUAAGAGCCAAAGCCUGGUUCAGAUCAAGUUCUGUUUGUCCUUUUCUUCAUGGAGUCUUUCCCAUCAAAUGUCGCAAUGUCUGUAAGCAGGAGCAAACCAGGCCCUCCUUCAGUUUAAAACUCCCUUUGCAGAAAGAGAAAGUAAUGAGUAGAGAUUAUUGCUCCAUUUAGAAGAAAAUUUCAGAUAAACAAAGCAGCUUUGAUUAUACCUUUGACCAGGACAGCCUUGAUAACAGAGGACACUUA
ensembl:lncRNA